rnacentral:rRNA from 1 species
GUGGGGAAUAUUGGACAAUGGGCGAAAGCCUGAUCCAGCCAUGCCGCGUGUGUGAAGAAGGUCUUCGGAUUGUAAAGCACUUUAAGUUGGGAGGAAGGGCAGUAAGUUAAUACCUUGCUGUUUUGACGUUACCGACAGAAUAAGCACCGGCUAACUUCGUGCCAGCAGCCGCGGUAAUACGAAGGGUGCAAGCGUUAAUCGGAAUUACUGGGCGUAAAGCUCGCGUAGGUGGUUCGUUAAGUUGGAUGUGAAAGCCCCGGGCUCAACCUGGGAACGGCAUCCAAAACUGGGGAGCUAGAGUACGGUAGAUGGUGGUGGAAUUUCCUGUGUAGCGGUGAAAUGAGUAGAUAUAGGAAGGAACACCCGUAGCGAAGGCGACCACCUGGACUGAUACUGACACUGAGGUGCGAAAGCGUGGGGAGCAAACAGGAUUAGAUACCCCAGUAGUCC